rnacentral:lncRNA from 1 species
GUUAUAGUUUGUUAAAACUCUAGUAUGCUCUCCUUCCUUUCUGCAAAGAAAGAAACAUUAAGGUUACUAAGUAGUGACUCCAUACUGAUAAUGUGUUCAGUGGACUUACAAGGUCACAGGAAACUUAAAAAAUCAGGAUUCCACUGUUUCCAAAGAAUUUAAAUUUUUACUUUAAAAUUUAAAAAUAUAUAUUGGUAAAUAUGACCUGUUUCUCACCCACCACUUUCUUGAAAAGAAACCACUCUAGUAAUGUCAUCAAUUAUUUAAGCACCUUUCUAACCCCCCCCCCAAAAUGUGAGAGGUAAUUUGCUUUAUAAAUUCACAGUUUUGAUCGGUAUAUGUUAAAUGCUUUGUUGACUCAGAAGAACAACCCUUCACUGGACAUGAUUUAAAUAAUGUACAUUUUUCUUCAUUGGUCAUGCACUGUCUUAAAAAGUUUGCUUCCCUAAAAUAUUUUGGCUAUAUAGUUUUAGUAUUCAUCUUAGAGGCUUUAUCAGCAGAAAGUGAUUUAUUCUUCAAUGUUUUGUGACGUAAUAUUGGUUUUGAAAAUAUGUAUAAGCUAAAGGCAGUAUUUUAUUGAGAUCAGUAGCUAUAGUGUUUAUCAACUCAAGUUAAGUGCCAGCAAAGACCUUUAAAACUUCAAGCUGUGUAUAGAACUGUCCUGUGUAGUAUUGAAAUAUUGUCAGUUUUUUAAGUUACUAGAAAUGUUCUUGAUUUGCAGCUUGAACAUAUUUUUGUAUUAAAAGUUGACUCUUAAGGAACUUAAGUGGAUGGUGGGUGGUGGCAUUUGGGGCCAGUAGUUAAAGUAUGUUUCUUCAGUUCUUUCCUUAAUCAGUGGUAUACAUGGCCAUUUUAUUAUGGUGUCUGUAUCCAGUUUAUAUUUCUCUGUAAGUUAUACUCUAGUUUCUGUCUCAGUCACCAUAUGUAAAGGAAAGUCCAGAAGUAGUAAACUACACAAAACAGGCAUUAUAACGUUAUAGGUGCUUACCUUUUGAAGGUUUAUUAAUACAUAUGGUUGUCAUAUAUACAUGACAAAUGGUGUACAUAUACAGAUGUUUUAUGCUAUAUAAAGUUUUCUAUACUCUUUCAGAAUUAUCUUCCGCAGUCUUUAUUCAAUACCAUGCAAAUUCCUCUUUAUUCUCUAGUGGCAAAUGCUUAAGUUUUUACACUCUGGUAGAGGAUAGAGUCUGGUCCAAGAUGGGGAAGUGACUUUUUGAAUGAAAAGUGAAAGAUAAAAUGACAAAAGCAAAACAAAAUACCACGAAUAAUGUGUUAUUCAUUAUUUUGAUUGGCUAGGUGAAGACUGUAAGAUAGUCAGCUCAGCAAUAUUUCUGUUAAGAGUCUGCUGAUUUCUGAAAUGUAGUCAGGCUUUCAAGUCUAAAUUCUAUUCCAUUUGUACUAGGGAAUGUUAUAAGAACUAUUUAUUUAGAAAGUUAUUUUUCCCUGUUUGGGGGCCAACUUUUUCUUCCCCACUAACUUCUGUUGAUAGCCUUUUUGUUCUGUAAGGUGGAAACUUGGCAAUGCUUGUCACAACCCGAUUAUUCAUCUGCACAAUUAAGGUCUGCAACUGAUGUAUAAAAGUCAUAUUCUCAAAUUCAUCAUUCUCAACUCUUGAGUUAAAGCUUAGGCUAAAUAUUAGUAAUAGCUUCGCUUACUGUCACAUUUUCUUGGGAAGGAUUUUGAUUUUGUGAAACAUUUGUGAAUUAGAGACUAGAUGUUAUUAUUUUAUAGAUAAAUGAUUUGUAUGUUGCUUGUUCCAAAUAAAACUGGGUUUAAACU